rnacentral:rRNA from 1 species
UACGUAGGGGGCAAGCGUUGUCCGGAUUUAUUGGGCGUAAAGAGCGUGUAGGCGGCUUGUUGCGUCGACCGUGAAAACCCGUGGCUUAACUGCGGGCUUGCGGUCGAUACGGGCGGGCUGGAGUUCGGUAGGGGAGACUGGAAUUCCUGGUGUAGCGGUGAAAUGCGCAGAUAUCAGGAGGAACACCAGUGGCGAAGGCGGUGCUCUGGGCCGGAACUGACGCUGAGGAGCGAAAGCGUGGGGAGCAAACAGG